UACGAAGGGUGCAAGCGUUACUCGGAAUUACUGGGCGUAAAGCGUGCGUAGGCGGUCUGUUAAGUCCGUUGUGAAAGCCCUGGGCUCAACCUGGGAAUUGCAGUGGAUACUGGCGGGCUAGAGUGCGGUAGAGGAUGGUGGAAUUCCCGGUGUAGCGGUGAAAUGCGUAGAGAUCGGGAGGAACACCAGAGGCGAAGGCGGCUUCCUGGACCGGUCCUGACGCUGAGGAGCGAAAGCGUGGGGAGCGAUCAGG
rnacentral:rRNA from 1 species